AAACUUGAGAGUUUGAUCCUGGCUCAGAACGAACGCUGGCGGCAUGCCUAACACAUGCAAGUCGAACGAGCUCUUCGGAGCUAGUGGCGCACGGGUGCGUAACGCGUGGGAACCUGCCCUUAGGUUCGGAAUAACUCCUCGAAAGGGGUGCUAAUACCGGAUAAUGUCUUCGGACCAAAGAUUUAUCGCCUUUGGAUGGGCCCGCGUUGGAUUAGCUAGUUGGUGGGGUAAUGGCCCACCAAGGCGACGAUCCAUAGCUGGUCUUAGAGGAUGAUCAGCCACACUGGGACUGAGACACGGCCCAGACUCCUACGGGAGGCAGCAGUGGGGAAUAUUGGACAAU
rnacentral:ncRNA from 1 species